GACGGGGGGGGCAAGUGUUCUUCGGAAUGACUGGGCGUCAAGGGCACGUAGGCGGUGAAUCGGGUUGAAAGUGAAAGUCGCCAAAAAGUGGCGGAAUGCUCUCGAAACCAAUGCACUUGAGUGGGACAGAGGAGAGUGGAAUUUCGUGUGUAGGGGUGAAAUCCGUAGAUCUACGAAGGAAGGCCAAAAGCGAAGGCAGCUCUCUGGGUCCCUACCGACGCUGGGGUGCGAAAGCAUGGGGAGCGAACAGG
rnacentral:rRNA from 1 species